rnacentral:tRNA from 1 species
CGAGGGGUGGAGCACCUUCGAACUCGUCAGCGGUGUUCCCGACAUCGCGAAGGUGCGCCGAUGGGCCCGGUCGGUGCUGUCCGACCUCCUCGA